GACGAACGCUGGCGGCGUGCUUAACACAUGCAAGUCGAACGGAAAGGCCCUGCUUUUGUGGGGUGCUCGAGUGGCGAACGGGUGAGUAACACGUGGGUAACCUGCCCUUGACUUUGGGAUAACUUCAGGAAGCUGGGGCUAAUACCGGAUAGGAGCUCCUGCUGCAUGGUGGGGGUUGGAAAGUUUCGGCGGUUGGGGAUGGACUCGCGGCUUAUCAGCUUGUUGGUGGGGUAGUGGCUUACCAAGGCUUUGACGGGUAGCCGGCCUGAGAGGGUGACCGGCCACAUUGGGACUGAGAUACGGCCCAGACUCCUACGGGAGGCAGCAGUGGGGAAUAUUGCACAAUGGGCGGAAGCCUGAUGCAGCAACGCCGCGUGCGGGAUGACGGCCUUCGGGUUGUAAACCGCUUUCGCCUGUGACGAAGCGUGAGUGACGGUAAUGGGUAAAGAAGCACCGGCUAACUACGUG
rnacentral:rRNA from 1 species